rnacentral:rRNA from 1 species
UGCCAGCAGCCGCGGUAAUACGGAGGGUGCAAGCGUUGCUCGGAAUUACUGGGCGUAAAGAGCGUGUAGGCGGUUUCGUAUGUCUGGCGUGAAAGCCCCGGGCUCACCCUGGGAAGUGCGCUGGAAACUGCGAGACUAGAGUCCCGGAGAGGGAGGUGGAAUUCCAGGUGUAGCGGUGAAAUGCGUAGAUAUCUGGAAGAACACCGGUGGCGAAGGCGACCUCCUGGACGGUGACUGACGCUGAGACGCGAAAGCGUGGGGAGCAAACAGGAUUAGAUA